AGAGCGAACGCUGGCGGCAGGCCUAACACAUGCAAGUCGAACGGCUCUUCGGAGCAGUGGCGGACGGGUGAGUAACACGUGGGAACGUGCCUUUUGGUUCGGAACAACACAGGGAAACUUGUGCUAAUACCGGAUGAGCCCUACGGGGGAAAGAUUUAUCGCCGAAAGAGCGGCCCGCGUUAGAUUAGCUAGUUGGUGGGGUAAAGGCCCACCAAGGCUACGAUCUAUAGCUGGUCUGAGAGGAUGAUCAGCCACACUGGGACUGAGACACGGCCCAGACUCCUACGGGAGGCAGCAGUGGGGAAUCUUGCGCAAUGGGCGAAAGCCUGACGCGGCCAUGCCGCGUGAAUGAUGAAGGUCUUAGGAUUGUAAAAUUCUUUUAGCAGGGACGAUAAUGACGGUACCUGCAGAAAAGCCCGGCUAACUUCGUGCCAGCAGCCGC
rnacentral:rRNA from 1 species